AUUGAACGCUGGCGGCAGGCCUAACACAUGCAAGUCGAACGAGUGGCGGACGGGUGAGUAAUGUCUGGGAAACUGCCUGUUGGAGGGGGAUAACUACUGGAAACGGUAGCUAAUACCGCAUACCAUCGGAUGUGCCCAGAUGGGAUUAGCUAGUGGGUGGGGUAAAGGCUCACCUAGGCGACGAACCCUAGCUGGUCUGAGCGGAGGACCAGCAAACCUGGAACGGAGAAACGGUCCAGACUCCUACGGGAGGAAGCAGUGGGGAAUAUUGCACAAUGGGCGCAAGCCUGAUGCAGCCAUGCCGCGUGUAUGAAGAAGGCCUUCGGGUGGAAAAGUACUUUCAGCGGGGAGGCGUUACCCGCAGAGGAAGCACCGGCUAACUCCGUGCCAGCCGCCGCGGUAAUUC
rnacentral:rRNA from 1 species